AUUGCUGAAGUUGUACUAGCCCGUGUCUGUGGUGCUUCUGCACAGGCAUGGCAUCUGCACAAAGCUUUUGGCUCAGCCAGGUCGCUGUUCUGAGCCAAGCCUUCGUACCUGUGCUGACUUCUCUCUCAGCUUUUGUUGCCCCACUCUCCAUCUUCUGGUACCUUAGAUAAGAUGGGAUGAGAACUUAUUUACAUUAAGUGCUUCUGGACAUCUCUUAGGGAAUCCUAUGAAGAGGGCCUCAGUCGGGUUACCGUCAUUUUUACUUGUCUGAAAUUUUGCUUGGUUUGGUGGAUGGAGAGAAGCGAAAUGCAGAUAAUUACAUGGUAACGUGUGAGGCCUCCUGCCCUGGUCUGUAGAGUUCUGAUUACCCAUGAGAAAACUUCUAUUUUGAUUAGACAGAUGAGGCUGCAGCCCAAGUCUGUGUGCUUUCUGCACACCAGCAGUGAACGUUUCGAAUGACAUGAGCAUGGGUACCACCUAGUACUUUCUUGGAACUGAAGCUGGAACAGACUUCUUGAAAGAGAAUGAGCUGUCGGAGUCAGGAAGCAGCUUGCAGAGCUGUUAGCGAGCUUGGCCCGCUUCCCACAAGAUUAUCUGUAUCAGCGCUGAAGAGGGGCUGAGAUUGAUUAGCACUGACGGAGAGUAAUCGCUGCAGCCGCCGUCCCCGCACGCGGGUGAGCUCAGCGUGCCCGGGCUGCAGCCCCCUGCCGGGCUCCGACAAACAGCUGUCCCCUUGCUGCCAAGGCUGUUUCUCCAGGCGCUGCCAAACAUUUUGGGGGCAUCAGAGCUCAGCGGUGAUGCUGCUGCUCAAAAAGGCAAAAGGCUGAGUGAUGAAUGGAGCUGCUUUUGCUGCCAGCAUCCAGACUCCAUAUGGACAGCUGCAGCUUCACAAAUGAACAGUGGCCCGAAGAAAAACAGCCUUUACCCUUUCCUGCUAUCCCUCCACGCUCCAGUCAUCCACCUCGAAACAGAACAAGAAAUUAUUUAUUCUCUAGGUUUCGGUGUUGGUGUGUGGGUGUUAGAAAUCAAAAAGCAGAGCUGAUUUUUCUGGCUGAAAUCUCGGUGUAUGGGCAGCUGCUGUAUAGAGCCCUUACCUGAAAUGAGCAGAACUACUGUAUGCAUGUGCCCUUUAUCAAAAAGGUCUUGAAGUUGGCUCUAAAUAUUAUUAACACUUGUAGCAAACAGCCAACAGAGCAGGGGUGAAGGGAGUUGGAGUGUGAAGAAGCUUGUGUAGAAGCAAUUUAAUUAAUUACAACCCAUUCAUGUUUACUGAUAAACCAGAAGAGAAAGCACAAGAACUCAGACUUUCCUCCUGUCUCCAGAAGGCCAGUGUGCUUUUGCCCCAGUGCAGUGCUCUGUAGGCUGGAAUGGCUGGAAUAAAUGGAUCUCAGUUCUUCCUCCUAUUAGUGCUAAUAAUAGGAUUUGGCAGAAACAUCCCAUAUGUGCUUUGACCUUCUGCAAUAUAUUUCAACAGAAAAUAUCAAAGCAUUUCUCUGAGAUUUGCUCAUGUCACCUCUGAGAAGCAGAUUUGUACUUUGCAUGUGAAGGACAUUGGUUUUUCAAAGCAGAGCUGUUCCGAGCCUGGUAGUAAAGAUUAGGAGGUUAGAAAUCUGGACAGGGCUGGACUAGAAAUUUGUCCAAUUGCAAUCCCGAUCAUCUCGAGGCAGCACAGAUGAUAUUAAGCAUGUCACUGCGCUACUACUUCUUGCUGUAUCUCCCAGCAGGUUAGAGCAUUGGGCACAGUGUACGAAAUACGACAUUCCAAGCAAGGAACAAACCUCAACACUUCUGGAGUUACUGAUUGCUUUGCUUUUUAGCAUCCUAAAAUGGUCAAUGGGAAACGGUCUGCUGAGAUCUGAAGUGGCUCAAGCGGUUUCCUCACGGAGAAGUAGGCAAAAGCCAUCAUUGUGCCUGUCAGGAAAAAAAGAUGCCUGAUGAAUUUGUACACGUUCAGCCUAUACUGAAAAGAGAGAUUCAAGUCUGAUGGACAGAGUAUCCUGGUGUAAGUCUGGCAUUACAAGAAGUGGAAACAUGAUUACACAAAGAAUGAUUGAAGGUAUCAUACCUGAAGUUUUAUCUUUAGUAGUGCAGCUGGCAUAAGAAGCUCCUGCUCUUGCUGUUCUUUUCCUUUUUUUUUUUUUUUUUUUUUUUUUUUUCUUUUAGCUUAGCUUAUUUUUGUGAUCUGGUUUAUAGCUCAGCCCUUCAGACUGUGGCAGUGAAGGCGUGGAAAUAGUUGAGAACAGAAGGGAAGGGAGGAAUUUCUUAAGCCAGCUGUUUCUGAAGAAGAACAAUUAUUAUGAAGCUGCACUGUGAAUCUGGACAAUGAAAGAGGGUACGGUCCAGAGGGAGAGCCUCCCAUCGUCUCAGCGUUAACCAGCCAUUUGCUGCUGUGGGAUCUGUUCAGAAGUGAUCAGAGGUGAUAACUUCAUGAUUACCCUGAUUGCUACCUGAAACCCAGGAGCAAAGUCCAUGAGCAUUUGUCUCUAACACCUGGUGCCUGUCCUAGCACUCUUCUCAGAGUUUUUAGGUAAUGAAACCCAGUAAGGAUCUUGUCCCUGUCUCAAAUUCUUUAAUCCUUUCUGUAGGAAAAGGUGCAAAACUGUGGCUUUCAACUCCCUCUAAAAUGAGGCAUAAUUAUAGGCAGGCAGCAAUAGCCUUAGCGAUCCCUAAAAAUGGCAGGAGCAGACGAGGAUGGUUUAAUAUUUUUAUAGUUCAGUGGAAAAUGAUGCUCACGGGUUUAUUCAGUAAAAUAUUCUCAGCAGAUACUUUGCGCUAUAAUGACUUACAAAUUACAUGCUAAUUGUGCUACAGUUAAGUGAUUCCAUCCUUGAAAGGGAGAGGUGGAACUCCUAGCGGCUCCUGGCUGGUAUUAGCCCAGCGUUCAAGUCCAGGUCAGAGUGACGGGUGAAUUGCCUGGACCUGUACUGAAAGCAGGAGCUGGUGGUGGCCGGGGAGGUGUCAGUGCCCCGUGGAAAGAGCACACCGGAGGUCACGGGAGAGUGUGCGGAUUUUUCAGUGUGGCCGAGUUGAGGCUGCCUGCGCUGGGAGCUUUCCUGGGAAAUGGCCAGCAGGCUGGGGUGAGCUUCUAGCUUUCCUGCUGGAAGCACUGCCUCGCUGGGGUUUGCUGGGAGAGGUGAAUGAGAUGUAAGGAAGGAGGAUGCAGGGAAUCUUCUGGGCCCCAGUCCGGUGGCUGUGGAGCAGAUGUGGUCUCUGGCACAGAUCGGCAGAUCCGUUGUAUCUCUAGGUUUAGGUCUUUGCUUGACACCUUGAGGCCUGUCAGUCCUGCCUCAUUAGUGCGAGAGAAGCUCAUUUUAGCUUCACAGAAGCCCAUCUCAUUGCUGUCUUCUCCCAUCAGCAAGGGGCAUCUCAGCACAUAUUGUUGGCAGAUUAGAAAUGGCAUCUGAGUGCUCAUUUGGAGGUUAGCAACUUGACAGCUUUGAAAGAGAGACAAAGUGGAAAGGUGGCUGCUUGGUACUGUACUGGGAGGCAGAUUAGCAUUUAAAGUUUGGUUCUCUUUUUUUUU